GGGUGAUUUUACGACGAAACAAACAAGCCCUAAGAGGUAAAAUAUAGAUUCUUGAAAGUUAGGAAGGAAAAGUUAAAAAAGAAGAAAUAAUGUGAAAAAGAACAACAAUCGAUCGUCCCUAGCACAAGUAGCAAAGGAUUUGAUGAUUGGUACCCGAGGUUCCUAGUUUGAAUCAUAAUUGAUUCACAUUUCUAGCUAAGUUUAUUUCUAAAAUGAAAUAAACGAAACGGAUAAUAUGCUACCUAUCUCUCAAAAAAAAAAGAAAAAAAGAAGAAGAACAAUAAAAACCUCAAAUUAAACAACAAGUAGUACAUGGUAAUUUCACAAUUAUAAAACUUGUAAAUUUAACC
rnacentral:lncRNA from 1 species